AACGAACGCUGGCGGCAUGCCUAACACAUGCAAGUCGAACGAGACCUUCGGGUCUAGUGGCGCACGGGUGCGUAACGCGUGGGAACCUGCCCUUAGGUUCGGAAUAACUCCCCGAAAGGGGUGCUAAUACCGGAUAAUGUCUUCGGACCAAAGAUUUAUCGCCUCUGGAUGGGCCCGCGUUGGAUUAGCUAGUUGGUAGGGUAAAAGCCUACCAAGGCGACGAUCCAUAGCUGGUCUGAGAGGAUGAUCAGCCACACUGGGACUGAGACACGGCCCAGACUCCUCCGGGAGGCAGCAGUGGGGAAUAUUGGACAAUGGGCGAAAGCCUGAUCCAGCAAUGCCGCGUGAGUGAUGAAGGCCUGAGGGUUGUAAAGCUCUUUUCCCCGGGAGGAUAAUGAAAGGACCGGAAGAAUAAGCUCCGGCUAACCCCGUG
rnacentral:rRNA from 1 species